rnacentral:rRNA from 1 species
AUUGAACGCUGGCGGCAGGCCUAACACAUGCAAGUCGAGCGAGCGGCGGACGGGGGAGUAAUGUAUGGGGGAUGAACGAUAGAGGGGGAUAUCUACUGGAGACGAUGGAUAAUACAGCAUACGCUAGGAUUACCCAUAUGUGAUUAGCUAGGAGGUAAGGUAAUGGCUUACCACGUCGACUAUCCCUCGCUGGUCUGAGAGGAUGACCCGCGACACUGGGACUGAGACACGGCCCAGACUCCUACGGAGUCAGCAGUGGGGAAUAUUGCACAAGGGGCGCAAGCCUGAUGCAGCCAUGCCGCGUGUAUGAAGAAGGCCCUAGGGUUGUAAAGUACUUUCAGUCGGGAGGCGUUACUGACAGAAGAAGCACCGGCUAACUCCGUGCCAGCAGCCGCGGUAAUAC